rnacentral:rRNA from 1 species
UACGUAGGGUGCAAGCGUUAAUCGGAAUUACUGGGCGUAAAGCGUGCGCAGGCGGUUUUGUAAGUUUGUCGUGAAAGCCCCGGGCUCAACCUGGGAACUGCAUUGGUGACUGGCAGGCUUUGAGUGUGGCAGAGGGAGGUAGAAUUCCACGUGUAGCAGUGAAAUGCGUAGAGAUGUGGAGGAAUACCGAUGGCGAAGGCAGCCUCCUGGGCCAACACUGACGCUCAUGCACGAAAGCGUGGGGAGCAAACAGG